CCGGCAAACGGGUGCGGAACACGUACACAACCUUCCUUAAAGUGGGGGAUAGCCCAGAGAAAUUUGGAUUAAUACCCCGUAAGAUUAUGAGAUGGCAUCAUUUUAUAAUUAAAGCUCCGGCGCUUAAAGAUGGGUGUGCGGCUGAUUAGGUAGUUGGUGAGGGUAACGGCCCACCAAGCCUUCGAUCAGUAACUGGUGUGAGAGCACGACCAGUCACACGGGCACUGAGACACGGGCCCG
rnacentral:rRNA from 1 species